AGCGAACGCUGGCGGCAUGCCUAACACAUGCAAGUCGCACGGGGGGGCUUCGGCCUCCCAGUGGCGGACGGGUGAGGAACGCGUAGGGACCUGUCGAGGGGUGGGGGAUAACCGCGGGAAACUGCGGCUAAUACCGCAUGACGCCGCGGCGUGACAGCCGGGGCCAAAGGCGAAAGCCGCCCGCCGAGGGGCCUGCGUCCGAUUAGCUGGUUGGCGGGGUAGCGGCCCACCAAGGCGUCGAUCGGUAGCUGGUCUGAGAGGGUGGUCAGCCACACCGGGACUGAGACACGGCCCGGACUCCUACGGGAGGCAGCAGUGGGGAAUAUUGGACAAUGGGCGCAAGCCUGAUCCAGCAAUGCCGCGUGGGUGAAGAAGGUCUUCGGAUUGUAAAGCCCUUUCGGCGGGGACGAUGGUGACGGUACCCGCAGAAGAAGCCCCGGCUAACUUCGUG
rnacentral:rRNA from 1 species